GGACGUGAAGGUGAUCUGGCUGUGACAUCUGUCACCCCAUUGAUUGCCAGGGUUGAUUCGGCUGAUCUGGCUGGCUAGGCGUGUGUCCCUUUCCUCCCUCACCGCUCCAUGUGCGUCCUCCUGAAGCUGCGCGCUCGGUCAGGCAGGACACUUUCCCCGAUAGAGGAGGACCCUCCUUUGAUCAAGGGUAUAUGAGUAGCUGUGCUCCCUUGCUAGAGCCUCCAACAAGCUCUCAGUUUUAAACAAGAAAGAUUAAAAAUAAGUGAAUAUUUGGCUUAAGAACAAAAAAAAGGAUAUUUU
rnacentral:snRNA from 1 species